AAAGAAAUACAAAAAAAAGCUUCUAACUUUUUAAAAGAGCAGUAAACUU
rnacentral:tRNA from 1 species